UGAGGGGUUAAGGCUCCCAGUAGACGACUGGGUUGAUAGGCCAGAUGUGGAAGCCCGGUAACGGGUGGAGCUGACUGGUACUAAUAGGCCGAGGGCUUGUCCUCAGUUG
rnacentral:rRNA from 1 species